rnacentral:rRNA from 1 species
UGUGUUCCAAAAGAACAAGGAGGAAUGGGUUUCCGUGAUAUACACUGCUUUAAUCUGGCUUUAUUUGCGAAGCAAGCAUGGCGUCUCGUGGAUAAUCCUGAAUCAUUAUGUGCAACAAUCCUAAGAGCCAAGUAUUUUCCCGAAGGUGAUUUGAUGAACGCAGUAUUAAAGAAGGGCUCUUCCUUUAUGUAA